rnacentral:rRNA from 1 species
UCUAGCGAACUGCCGUUGACAAAACGGAGGAAAGGUGGGGAUGACGUCAAAUCAUCAUGCCCCUUAUGUUCUGGGCUACACACGUGCUACAAUGGCCGGUACAGACGGACGCAAAGCCGCGAGGUGGAGCAAAUCCUAAAAAAGCCGGUCUCAGUUCGGAUUGCAGGCUGCAAUUCGCCUGCAUGAAGUCGGAAUCGCUAGUAAUCGCAGGUCAGCAUACUGCGGUCGAAUACGUUCCGGCCUU